GGGGGAUCUUGCGCCAAUGCGCGAAAGCGUGACGCAGCGACGCCGCGUGGGGGAUGAAGGCCCUCGGGUUGUAAACCCCUUUCGGCAGGGACGAAGGGAAACUGACGGUACCUGCAGAAGAAGUCCCGGCUAACUACGUGCCAGCAGCCGCGGUAACACGUAGGGGACGAGCGUUGUCCGGAUUCAUUGGGCGUAAAGCGCGCGUAGGCGGCUCGGAAAGUCGGUCGUGAAAUGCCGGGGCUCAACCCCGGGACUGCGUUCGAUACUUCCGAGCUGGAGGUAGGUAGGGGAGAUCGGAAUUCCUGGUGUAGCGGUGAAAUGCGCAGAUAUCAGGAGGAACACCGGUGGCGAAGGCGGAUCUCUGGGCCUUACCUGACGCUGAGGCGCGAAAGCUAGGGGAGCGAACAGGAUUAGAUACCCUGGUAGUCCUAGCCGUAAACGUUGGGUGCUAGGUGUGGGCGGACAUCGACCCCGUCCGUGCCGAAGCUAACGCAUUAAGCACCCCGCCUGGGGAGUACGGCCGCAAGGCUA
rnacentral:rRNA from 1 species